rnacentral:rRNA from 1 species
GUACACUCCUACGGGAGGCAGCAGUAGGGAAUCUUCCACAAUGGGUGCAAACCUGAUGGAGCAAUGCCGCGUGAGUGAAGAAGGUCUUCGGAUCGUAAAGCUCUGUUGUUAGAGAAGAACACGUGCUAGGUAACUACUAGCGCCUUGACGGUAUCUAACCAGAAAGUCACGGCUAACUACGUGCCAGCAGCCGCGGUAAUACGUAGGUGACAAGCGUUGUCCGGAUUUAUUGGGCGUAAAGGGAGCGCAGGCGGUCUGUUUAGUCUAAUGUGAAAGCCCACGGCUUAACCGUGGAACGGCAUUGGAAACUGACAGACUUGAAUGUAGAAGAGGAAAAUGGAAUUCCAAGUGUAGCGGUGGAAUGCGUAGAUAUUUGGAGGAACACCAGUGGCGAAGGCGAUUUUCUGGUCUAACAUUGACGCUGAGGCUCGAAAGCUUGGGGAGCGAACAGGAUUAGAAACCCCUGUAGUCC